CUGGCUCAGGACGAACGCUGGCGGCGUGCCUAAUACAUGCAAGUCGAACGGUCUUUCUAUGGAAGCUUGCUCCACUGAGAAGAUAGUGGCGAACGGGUGAGUAACACGUGGGUAACCUGCCCAUAAGAGGGGGGAUAACAUCCGGAAACGGGUGCUAAUACCGCAUAGUUUUCUUGAUCGCAUGAUCGGGAAAGGAAAGACGGCCUUUGUGCUGUCGCUUAUGGAUGGACCCGCGGCGUAUUAGUUAGUUGGUGAGGUAACGGCUCACCAAGACGAUGAUACGUAGCCGACCUGAGAGGGUGAUCGGCCACAUUGGGACUGAGACACGGCCCAAACUCCUACGGGAGGCAGCAGUAGGGAAUCUUCCGCAAUGGACGAAAGUCUGACGGAGCAACGCCGCGUGAGUGAAGAAAGGUUUUCGGAUCGUAAAACUCUGUUGUCAGAGAAGAACAAGUUGGAGAGUAACUGCUCCAGCCUUGACGGUAUCUGACCAGAAAGCCACGGCUAACUACGUGCCAGCCGCAGC
rnacentral:rRNA from 1 species